ACGGGGUGCAGCAGGCGCGAAACCUCCACAAUGCGCGAAAGCGUGAUGGGGUUAUCCCGAGUGCCGUCCGAUGAGGAUGGCUUUUCAUCGGUGUAAGGAUCCGAUGGAAUAAAGGGGGGGCAAGACUGGUGUCAGCCGCCGCGGUAAUACCAGCUCCCUGAGUGGUAAGGACGAUUAUUUGGCCUAAAGCGUUCGUAGCCGGCUUAUCAAGUCUUUUGUUAAAUCCAACGAUUCAAUCGUUGGGCCGCAAAAGAUACUGUUAUGCUAGAGGACGGGAGAGGUCGACGGUAUUCCAGGGGUAGGGGUGAAAUCCUAUAAUCCUUGGAGGACCACCAGUGGCGAAGGCGGUCGACUAGAACGUGCCUGACGGUGAGGGACGAAAGCUGGGGGAGCGAACCGGAUUAGAUACCCGGGUAGUCCCAGCCGUAAACGAUGCGGGCUAGGUGUUGGGGCAGCCACGAGCUGCUCCAGUGCCGCAGAGAAGUUAUUAAGCCCGCCGCCUGGGGAGUACGGCCGCAAGGCUGAAACUUAAAGGAAUUGGCGGGGGAGCACCACAAGGGGUGAAGGCUGCGGUUUAAUUGGAGUCAACGCCGGGAACCUUACCGGGGCUGACAGCAGAGUGAAGGCCAGACUGAAGAUCUUGCCAGACAAGCUGAGAGGAGGUGCAUGGCCGUCGCCAGUUCGUGCCGUGAGGUGUCCUGUUAAGUCAGGCAACGAACGAGACCCCCGCUUUUAGUUGCCAGCGGAUUCCAACGGAAUGCCGGGCACACUAACGGGACUGCCAUCGAUA
rnacentral:rRNA from 1 species